rnacentral:rRNA from 1 species
CCUACGGGAGGCAGCAGUGGGGAAUAUUGGGCAAUGGAGGAAACUCUGACCCAGCGACGCCGCGUGCGGGAUGAAGGCCUUCGGGUUGUAAACCGCUUUCAGUAGGGAAGAAGCGAAAGUGACGGUACCUACAAAAGAAGCACCGGCUAACUAUGUGCCAGCAGCCGCGGUAAUACAUAGGGUGCAAGCGUUGUCCGGAAUUAUUGGGCGUAAAGAGCUCGUAGGUCGUUUGUUACGUCGGAUGUGAAAACCCUGAGGCUCAACCUCAGGCCUGCAUUCGAUACGGGCAAACUAGAGUUUGGUAGGGGAGACUGGAAUUCCUGGUGUAGCGGUGGAAUGCGCAGAUAUCAGGAGGAACACCAAUGGCGAAGGCAGGUCUCUGGGCCAAUACUGACACUGAGGAGCGAAAGUCUGGGGANCGAACAGGAUUAGAUACCCUGGUAGUCCAGACCGUAAACGGUGGGCACUAGUUGUGGGAACCUUCCACGGUUUCUGCGACGUAGCUAACGCUAUUAGUCGCCCCGUCGUCGGUAGGUACGAGUCGCGAGAAUAAACUACAAGUAAGUAGUACGCGCGAGAGACGUCGACGACGACGACGAGGAGGAG